GACGAACGCUGGCGGCGUGCUUAACACAUGCAAGUCGAACGGUAAGGCCCUUCGGGGUACACGAGUGGCGAACGGGUGAGUAACACGUGGGUGAUCUGCCCUGCACUUCGGGAUAAGCCUGGGAAACUGGGUCUAAUACCGGAUAGGGCCUCUGCCUGCAUGGGUGGUGGUGGAAAGCUUUUGCGGUGUGGGAUGGGCCCGCGGCCUAUCAGCUUGUUGGUGGGGUGAUGGCCUACCAAGGCGACGACGGGUAGCCGGCCUGAGAGGGUGACCGGCCACACUGGGACUGAGAUACGGCCCAGACGCCUACGGGAGGCAGCAGUGGGGAAUAUUGCACAAUGGGCGCAAGCCUGAUGCAGCGACGCCGCGUGAGGGGUGACGGCCUUCGGGUUGUAAACCUCUUUCAGCACCGACGAAGCGCAAGUGACGGUAGGUGCAGAAGAAGGACCGGCCAACUACGUGCCAGCCGCCGCUGUAA
rnacentral:rRNA from 1 species